rnacentral:lncRNA from 1 species
GAAGGUCCAGGCUGGUUUUGGGGCUCCCUCAUGAGAUCCUGGGUGGAUUUUGGUGGGUCUGGGGGAGGUUUGGGCAGGCCUGGCAGGAGCUGGGCUGGAAUGUCCACCUGGCCCUACCCGUGAGCAGCUCUAUCCAGGUCUGAACGGUCUCCGCUGACUCCGUGGCCUUGAUGUGCCUGAGGGUCUCAUCCAGCAGCACAUCCCCGGUGGGAGCAUCCGACUUCAGCAGCACCUGGCAGGGCAAAGGGGAUAGAAUGUUAAAAUAGAAUUNNNNNNNNNNUUUCCCCACUCCUGCCUCUCCAAAGGUUCCCAGAUUUCCAUGUUUCCCUGCUCCUGCCUCGCCAAAGCUUCCCAGAUUUUCAUAUUUCGUAUUUCGUUGUCUCUCCAAAGCUUCCCAGAUUUUCAUGUUUCCCUGCUCCUGCUUCUCCAAAGCUUCCCAUAUUUUCAUAUUUCGUAUUUCCUUGUCUCUCUAAAGCUUCCCAGAUUUUCAUGUUUCCCUGCUCCUCUCUCCAAACCCUCCCAAAUUUCCAGAUUUCCCUGCUCCUCUCUCCAAACCCUCCCAGAUUUCCAGAUUUCCCUGCUCCUCUCUCCAAACCCUCCCAGAUUUCCAAAGGGAUGUGGAAAAUCUUUUCCCCACCAGGUGAGAAGCUCCAAUUUUCCCCCUUCCUGCCCCAAAACCCCUCCAAACACUGAGCAGGCUGUGCCCUCCUGGCUGCAUGUUGGAUGAUUUUUAAAAACUCCCACUCUAUUUUCAGUCUCAUGUGAAGGCUGAGACAAUACAGGUGUUAUAAUUUAUACCAUCACAAUCAGAAGCUAAUUAUUUCUUAAUUACAAUACAUUAUAAUAAUUUUUUGGCUAAUCAGCUUUAGCCACACCAUGCUGUAAAUACCUUAAAGCAAAUUUAAAAUUACCCCUCGUGGGUCCUGCUACAAUACACCUUUCAUAAUUCUAUUUUUUCUAAAGUUAUCUAGUCUUAUUUACUAAACUAUCCUAUAAAAAUUGUUUCUAGCUCCAUUUCUCUCUCUGUCCUAUUCUAUAAUAUGUCUAAAUCAUCAUUUUUAAUCUCAAAGUUUACACACAGAUCACACCCUGUGUGACUUCUGUCAAGCUUUGAGAAUUCUCUACAAACUCCAAGAAUUCCAAUUUGAGAAAUUCUCUACAAAUUCAUUUCCCAUCACCACAAGGCACACCCAACUCCAGGGUGUAAAAAAAAAUCCACAGAAAAGUGAGAAAAGUGUCAAAAAUCGUCCAAUUUCACCCCUUGCCAUGGCAGGGACACCUCCCACUGUUUCCUUGGGCAUUUCCAGGCAGCCACAGCUUCUCUGGGCACCUGUGCCACCCUCCCAGGGAGGAAUUUCUUCCCAAAAUCCCAUCUAAACUUCCUCUCUGUCCAUUUGAAACCAUCCUCCCCUUGUCCUGUCCCUCCAGGUUCUCAUCCUGAGAGCUGCGAGCUCCAAAAGCCAAGAAUUUGGGAAAGGUGCAAAAGUUUGGGAAAUAAAACCCACAAAAAAAACCCA